rnacentral:rRNA from 1 species
UACGUAGGGUGCAAGCGUUGUCCGGAAUUAUUGGGCGUAAAGAGCUCGUAGGCGGUCUGUUGCGUCGGCUGUGAAAACCCGGGGCUCAACUCCGGGCCUGCAGCCGAUACGGGCAGACUAGAGUUCGGCAGGGGAGACUGGAAUUCCUGGUGUAGCGGUGAAAUGCGCAGAUAUCAGGAGGAACACCGGUGGCGAAGGCGGGUCUCUGGGCAAUAACUGACGCUGAGGAGCGAAAGCGUGGGGAGCGAACAGG